GGAAGUGUGGUAUAGUGGUUUGAGCAUUGGACUACAACUCUGGAGACCAGGGUUUGAUUCCCAGCUUGGCCU